GACGAACGCUGGCGGCGUGCUUAACACAUGCAAGUCGAACGGAAAGGCCCCAGCUUGGUGGGGUGCUCGAGUGGCGAACGGGUGAGUAACACGUGGGUGAUCUGCCUUGCACUCUGGGAUAAGCUCGGGAAACUGGGUCUAAUACCGGAUAUGAACUGCUUCUAGUGUGGGGGUUGGAAAGUUUUUUCGGUGUUGGAUUGGCUCUCGGCCUAUCAGCUUGUUGGGGGGGUGAUGGGCUAUCAAGGCGUCGUCGGGGAGCCGGCCUGGGAGGGUGUACGGCCCCAAUGGGACUGAGGUUAGGCCCAGGCCCCCACGGGGGGCAAGAGGGGGGGAAAUUGCCAAAAGGGCGGGAGCCCGGUGCAGGGACGCCGGGUGGGGGAUGACGGCCUUCGGGUUGUAAACCCCUUUCGGCAGGUACCGAGCUGUUAGUGACGGUAACUGUAUAAGAAGCACCGGCUAACUACGUG
rnacentral:rRNA from 1 species